AACGAACGCUGGCGGCAUGCCUAACACAUGCAAGUCGAACGAGACCUUCGGGUCUAGUGGCGCACGGGUGCGUAACGCGUGGGAAUCUGCCCUUUGGUUCGGAAUAACAGUUGGAAACGACUGCUAAUACCGGAUGAUGACGAAAGUCCAAAGAUUUAUCGCCAGAGGAUGAGCCCGCGUAGGAUUAGCUAGUUGGUGUGGUAAAGGCGCACCAAGGCGACGAUCCUUAGCUGGUCUGAGAGGAUGAUCAGCCACACAGGGACUGAGACACGGCCCAGACUCCUACGGGAGGCAGCAGUGGGGAAUAUUGGACAAUGGGCGAAAGCCUGAUCCAGCAAUGCCGCGUGAGUGAUGAAGGCCUUAGGGUUGUAAAGCUCUUUUACCCGGGAUGAUAAUGACAGUACCGGGAGAAUAAGCUCCGGCUAACUCCGUGCCAGCCGCCGCGGUAA
rnacentral:rRNA from 1 species